UUAGGCGGCAGCUAGCUCUCUGCAAUUCUCACAUGGUCGCCCACUUAAGCUAAGCAGGGCUGUGCCCAGUCAGUACCUGGAUGAGAGAUCACAUGGGAAAGCUAGGCUGCUGCCAGAA
ensembl:rRNA 5S_rRNA 5S ribosomal RNA